AUUGAACGCUGGCGGCAUGCUUUACACAUGCAAGUCGAACGGUAGAGGGGGCAACCCCUUGAGAGUGGCGAACGGGUGAGUAAUGCAUCGGAACGUGCCCAGUCGUGGGGGAUAGCCCGGGGAAACCCGGAUUAAUACCGCAUACGACCUGAGGGUGAAAGCGGGGGACCGAAAGGCCUCGCGCGAUUGGAGCGGCCGAUGUCGGGUUAGGUAGUUGGUGGGGUAAAGGCCUACCAAGCCUGCGAUCCGUAGCUGGUCUGAGAGGACGACCAGCCACACUGGGACUGAGACACGCCCAAGACUCCUACGGGAGGCAGCAGUUGGGAAUUUUGGACAAUGGGCGCAAGCCUGAUCCAGCCAUGCCGCGUGCGGGAAGAAGGCCUUCGGGUUGUAAACCGCUUUUGUCAGGGAGGAAAUCCUUUGGACUAAUACUCUGGGGGGAUGACGGUACCUGAAGAAUAAGCACCGGCUAACUACGUGCCAGCCGCCGCCGUAA
rnacentral:rRNA from 1 species